GGGUCCAACAUAUCAGAGAGAAUCUCGGCCUUUUGUAUGUUUGUGGAAUUGUUCUACAGUGAUCUGUGUUUGUGACAAUUACCUAGAUUAUGGAAAUCUGUGGGCUUAAGCAAGUCUUUUCCUUUUUGGUAUUUCUAUUCUCGCACCUAUACAUUAUUGAUACUGUUAAAGCUAAAAAGCCUUCUUCUCGGGGGUACACCAUGGAAUAGCCAUUCUUUGAACUCAUACAUUGAAUGUUAAGUUCUUAGUGUGAGCAGAUAGUCUAUCAAGAUAUGCUACAGAAAGGUGAAGUAACUAGAAAUAGAAAUAUAAGGAACAAAUUUUCCAUGGUUCCAAGAACAUCCAGGCAGAAUAAAUUUAUGCAUCAAGACUAAAAAAGUUACACUGAUCUGUGGCUUUUCCCCCCAUAUUGUACGUACUCUAAAAUGUCCACUAAAGUUUGAAUCUUUUAGGAUACUCUCAACUCCAAGUCUGUCUAAGUAGUUUAAACCAUAUAGAAAGUCAUUGACUCGGAUAAGUGGGCAUCAGUUAAUGGACUCAGAUGCGUUUCAUCUCAGCUCUGUUGAACACAGGCUUCACCCUAAGGACAGUUGUCCUCAUAACUGCAAGACAGCUGCCAGCUGCAAUCAGGGAUACAUGCUUUUUUCUUCCACUUCCAGUGUAAAGGAGACUUGCUUCCUGAAGCAUCCCCUAAGGACAAGGAAGGUUUUUCCCUGGAAAUCUCUAGCAGAAGCUCGUUGAUCAGUCUAAUUUGGAUCACAUGCUCAUUUCAGAACCAAUCACAAGAAAAAGUUAUGUAAUAACCCUUUGACCUAUCAGCCCAUUGAGGACAUGGACUGUGUCAGGAAGGAGUGGAUAUCUAAACAUUAUUAUAGUCUGUUGGAAAGGAAGAAAAGACAAUGAGUGCUGUAGGCCACCGGUAAUGUCCACUCCAGAGUUCCUGGGAGGAACAUGGCCAGACAGUAAGUACUAAAACCGUUAUGACCAUUAACCCACAGUAAGAUUGCAUGUUGAAGCUACCAAAUGAGUCAGAUAAAAGAUCUAUUUAUAAGGAGAAGUAUUGACCCUGAUUCCCCAAGACCCCAUGGUACAGCUAAGGAUUUCUUUUUUCUUCAUUUCUCAAGGAGAGGAGACAGCAUGUUACAAGUUGUCUGCAAAAAGACACACAAUUCCACAAUUCAAUCCAUGAUACAUACCUUUUCUGCAAGCAUUGUGAUAUGGCACUGCUGUAUUUGAAAUUUCUGAGUUGAGCUGAUUCAGAUGAACUAAUAUCUGGAAGUGUCUAAAAACAUAAGAACCUAUCAGGCAUACCAGCCUGGGGUCAAACAAAUGGGGUGCAAACUACAGAACACUUAUUCCCACCUCACCCAUGGGAACUGUUGGAAUUGUAGCUCUUUAAAUCAAGAAUUCUGGCCCAGAAGAGAUGAACAGGAUCUUUCUCAACUCCCAUCUUCCUCCUGGUCCCUGAGGCCACCUGGUCACAGGCUACUUUGGAAGUUACACCAUUUGAGCACCCCAGCAUCACCUGGGCUAGACAGCAAGUCCCUCAAGACACAGGGACUGUGUCUGUCAUCUCCUAUUUGUAGUGCUUUUCCUGGUAUGUAGUAUGUGAUCAAUUAAUGAAGGAAAGAAUAAAUGAAGAAGAGUUUGGGUGACUUUUUGUAUUGGUUCCUGUCACUGAUUUGGACCAAGGAAGAGAGAUAAGAGUAAGAAAAGAGCUCAGGUCAUCAACUUGACCCCUCAGGCUUCCUCUUCUGCAACUUGCCAAUCUUUCCUAGAGCUCAUAGGAAAAGGUUCUGUACCUUGACUUUGGUCUUUCUCAUUGGAUUUUCACUGCCGUUGAAUAAAUUCCCAUUCUUUAAGAUGAACUGAGAAAAUUCCAGAAACUUGAGGUGGGCUGGAAACUGCUCAAAGGGAUUUUUAGCCCUAAGAAUCGAUGCUACUUUAUAUGUCUGCUGAAAGUUCCUGAUUUUCCUGACACUCCUGGAAUUGAGAGAAGUCUGAGAGGCAUUGUUUCUACAUCUGCCUUUCACUUUUCCACAAAGAAAGCAGCUGCUUGAAUCCUGGCAGAACAACUUGUUUUCACUGUACCUCAGGCAGGCCUCUCACUGUUGUGGCCUCCUCUCCCGUUGCGGAGCACAGGCUCCGGACGCGCAGGCUCAGCGGCCAUGGCUCACGGGCACAGCCGCUCCGUGGCAUGUGGGAUCCUCCCGGACCGGGGCACGAACCCGUGUCCUCUGCAUCGGCAGGCGGACUCUCAACCACUGCGCCACCAGAGAAGCCCAUGAAGGUGUUUUUUAAAGAAGAGAUUAACAUUUAAAUGAAUAUAUUUUGAGUAAAGCAGCUUACUCUCAAUAAUGUUGGUGGGCUUCAUCUAAUCAGUUAGAGGCCUUAAGAGAAAAAAGACAGACUUCCCCUGAAGAGGAAAUUCUGCCAGUAGAUUGCCUGUGGACUUGAGCUGCAACAUCAGUUCUUCCCUGGGUCUCCAGCCAGCAUGCUUACCCUGCAGAUUUUGAAUUUUCCAGCCUCUAUAAUCAUGUGAGCCAAUUCCUUAAA